GCCUGCUCACUGACAAAGUAGUUAAAUAGCCGCGGUAUCCUGACCGUGCAAAGGUAGCAUAAUCAUUAGUUCUUUAAUUGGGAACUCGUAUGAAUGGUUGGACAAAGAAAAAGCUGUCUCUCAUAUUAAAGUUGAAUUUAACUUCUAAGUGAAAAGGCUUAGAUUAUCUAGAGGGACGAUAAGACCCUAUAAAGCUUUAUAAACUAAAAGAAUUUACUAAUAAAAAAGAAAAAUAAAAGUAUUUCUUGUCCGUUUAUUGGGUUGGGGCGACAAAGGUAUAAAUAAAGUAACUGCUAUGAAAAUAAACAAUUAUAUUUGAUUUAUAUAUGAUAAGUGAUCCUUCUUAAAGAUUAAAAGACCAAGUUACUUUAGGGAUAACAGCGUAAUUUUUCCUGAGAGUCCUUAUCAAAGGAAAUGUUUGCGACCUCGAUGUUGAAUUAAAAUAUCUUCAUAGUGCAGCAGCUAUUAAAGAAGGUCUGUUCGACCUUUAAAUUUUUACAUGAUUUGAGUUCAGACCGGCGUGAGCCAGGUCGGUUUCUAUCUUCUAGCAAAACAAAAAGUACUUUAGUACGAAAGGAUUGAGUACUUGAAAUUUUUUUAACGGUUGGAAU
rnacentral:rRNA from 1 species